CCUACGGGUGGCAGCAGUGAGGAAUAUUGGUCAAUGGCCGUAAGGCUGAACCAGCCAAGUCGCGUGAAGGAAGAAGGACCUAUGGUUUGUAAACUUCUUUUAUAGGGGAGUACAGGUAUCCACGUGUGGAUAUUUGCAUGUACCCUAUGAAUAAGCAUCGGCUAACUUCGUGCCAGCAGCCGCGGUACUACGACGGAUGCGUGCGUUGUCCGGAUUUAUUGGGUUUAAAGGGUGCGUAGGUUGGUUUUUAAGUUAGCGGUGAAAGUUUGUGGCUCAAACAUAAGAUUGCCGUUGAUACUGGAAGACUAGAGUGUGUUAGAGGUAGGCGGAAUGCGAGGUGUAGCGGUGAAAUGCGUAGAUAUAAGGCAGAACACCGAUUGCGAAGGCAGCUUACUAAGCCAAUACUGACACUGAGGGACGAAAGCGUGGGGAUCAAACAGGAUUAGAUACCCCUGUAGUC
rnacentral:rRNA from 1 species